AAAAGAUUAAAUUGUCCUAUAUGACAUAGAACAACCAAGAGUUUUAAAUGCACGAUUUAAUAAUAAUUUAAUGCGAUUAAAAAUGUUUAUGUAGUUUUCUAAGAUGUUUAUUUAUGUAAAUGCUGUGUGUGUAUGCUGCGGGUGCUGAACGUUACUGCCCCUUUAAAUCCGUUGGAGUGACCUGAGUUACCAUGGAUACGAGGCUACUAGGAACAACAGAAAGCGACAAGCUCCGUGUCUCUUAUGGUUUUCUUCACUUUUUCAGAAGUGACAAAAUAACCCCAUAAUAGAAAAUAAGCUCAAGAUUUCUGCAUUUUCGAAUGGAGCUGCAGUGCUGACAGAGAGAUGUUGUAAACUCAGAUUUGUCUAUGCUGAUGGCCAUGCAGCAGAGUUCAAGCAAACCUGUCAGAAAACAUCUCUAAGGGGCUAUGUAUGAACCAUAUGGCUAGAUACCCAUACAAGUCACAGAAGCUCCAGUAUGGAUCCAGCCUCACUUGUAAAGACUUCAGAUGACGCCUACACUCUCAGAGACUUCAGAUGAUGGCAACUAGAUGGACAUACAAGACUGCCAAACAUUAUAUAUAUUGCACUCACUGCCUCAAAGCAUAAGUUUGCAGAUUUUCAACCCAUGUUAUAUUUUUACAAUAAAUUGGGGUAUUUGAAUGCACAAUGUUAAUGCUUUAACUUAAAUUCCCAAUUAGUUCUUGACAAUACUCUGCCAGAUGACAGAUUACAUAUAUUACAGACAUUGUAACAAUACAAAGUGGGUUGGAAAUCUGUAAACUUCCUCUAUAAUCAUAAUUGUCUGUUUAACUGAGCAUGACUUAAUACAAGGCAUGUGUUAUCUUAGAGCUAUAUGAUUGCUGUAUUAACAUCACUUCGUUACUUAAUGAGAUUUAUGCUUAUCCCUAGUUUCACAGACGAGGCUUAAGCCCAUAGUCCUUGACUAUAGUCCUAGAUGUUUGAGCUGUCUCUAUUGAAAAGAACUUUCAAUGUGAGAUUUUAAAAUAAGCCAGUGCCAGUGAUUUGUCUUAUGAUAGAGACCAGUAACAAUUUUUUUCUAAGGCAUGUUUAUUAAAGAUGCUUAAACAUCUUAUUUUAACUAAGGCAUAGUCUAGCUUUAGCUAAGCCGUGUCUGUGAAACCAGGCCUUUAUUCUUAAUGCAUUAAGAUAUGUAAGUUGAAUUUAAAGAUAAAAUUCUGUUUACACUUUAUUGGUAAAACAUACCAAGCAGAUAUGCACAGAAAAUAAACCAAAUGCGUUAAAUUACA